rnacentral:lncRNA from 12 species
UCCUUUCCCUUAUAAUCCCUUUUACUAUUUCUUAUAUUCCCCAUUUGAGUGAAACCAUAUGAUGAUUGUCCUUCUCUGAAUGACUUACUUCACUCAGCAUAAUACCUUCCAGUUCCAACCACACUGAAGCAAAUGGUGGGUAUUUGUCCUUUCUAAUGACUGAGUAAUAUUCCAUUGUAUACAUAGACCACAUUUUCUUUAUCCAUUCAUCUAUUGAAGGACAUCAAGUCUCCUUCCACAGUUUGGCUAUUGUGGACAUUGCUACCUAAACAUUAGGGUACAGGUGUCCCAGUGUUUCACCACAUCUGUAUCUUUGGGGUAAAUACCCAGUAAUGCAAUUGCUGGGUCAUAUAGCCUUAGUCUUUUUUAAGUAAUUUUUUUAGUAUUGGCAUGCCCAUUUGGGACAAGUACCAGGACAUACUUAUAUUAAAAUUUUGUUGCUUAUCUGAAACUCAAAUGUAACUGGGAUUCCAUGCUUUUUUCUGCAAAAUUCAGUGGAAGUCUUGUUUGAUAUCGUGUUAAUUUUAGAAUGGAAAAAAGGAGUCUGUUGGGCAAAUGUUUGAGAAGUUCAGAUUCAAUUACUUUUGCAUGGUUUGUUUAUUCAUUCCUUUCAGAUUUUUAAUAUUGCUACAAUGUGCUGUGAAUCUCUACUAGAGAGAGCCAUAUGAUGCAGGUGUUCAUCUAUUAACUAUCUAUUAUCCAUCUAAUUAACCUAUUUUCUUUUCUUUAUUACUUCUUUUUUUUUUUAAAAAAAAUGAAACCUUUUAUUGCAGAACAUCUGGCAGGAUGAUCAUUUUCUGAAAGUAUUUUGGAAAACACCGAUGAGGAGCUACAACUGGGUGACUCCGGGAAGUCAGCCAGCAAGGAAUCUCUACAUCCGACGUGGAGCUCAAACUCACGACCCAAGAUCAAGAGUCCCAUUCUCUACUGACUGAGCCAGCCAGGUACCCUGUUGUAUUUUAAAUUAGCUUGUAUCUCCUCUUGGGAAACUGGGGAAAUUGGAUAUUUUUAGACUAAAUGAGCCAACAGUUAUCUUUCAGUCCUGGCUAAAGCCCAAUGCUAUGUUGUUCACUAGCUGAGGAAUGGAGAAAAAUAGGAGAAGGGAUAGCAAGGGACAAUAUCAUGACAAUUGUUCUAGGACAACCUCUUCUUUAACAGAUGGAUC